ACUCAAAUGAAUUGACGGGGGCCCGCACAAGCGGUGGAGCAUGUGGUUUAAUUCGACGCAACACGAAGAACCUUACCAGGGCUUGACAUCCUUCGAAUACUCAGAGAUGAGUAGUGCCUUCGGGAGCGAAGAGACAGGUGGUGCAUGGUUGUCGUCAGCUCGUGUCGUGAGAUGUUGGGUUAAGUCCCGCAACGAGCGCAACCCCUAUUUUUAGUUGCCAGCACAUAAUGGUGGGCACUCUAGAGAGACUGCCGGUGACAAACCGGAGGAAGGUGGGGAUGACGUCAAAUCAUCAUGCCCCUUAUGUCCUGGGCUACACACGUGCUACAAUGGCCGGUACAGAGGGCUGCGAAGCCGCGAGGUGAAGCAAAUCCCAAAAAGCCGGUCUCAGUUCGGAUUGUAGGCUGCAACUCGCCUACAUGAAGUCGGAAUCGCUAGUAAUCGCAGGUCAGCAAACUGCGGUGAAUACGUUCCCGGGCCUUGUACACACCGCCCGU
rnacentral:rRNA from 1 species